UACGGGGGGAGCAAGCGUUGUUCGGAUUUACUGGGUGUAAAGGGCGCGUAGGCGGCACCGCAAGUCGACUGUGAAAUCUCCGGGCUUAACCCGGAAAGGUCAGCCGAUACUGCGGGGCUAGAGUGCAGAAGGGGCAACUGGAAUUCUCGGUGUAGCGGUGAAAUGCGUAGAUAUCGAGAGGAACACCUGCGGCGAAGGCGGGUUGCUGGGCUGACACUGACGCUGAUGCGCGAAAGCUAGGGGAGCGAACGGG
rnacentral:rRNA from 1 species